AGCUUAGAACCAUAAUUAAUCAAAAUCUUAACUUAGUUUGAUCUGCAGCAAUUGUUUACUCCUAUGGCUUUUAGAUCAGCGGUAAGUUCCAAUUACUUCUAUUAUUAUAUAACUUGGUGUGAUAAAAGUUGCUCUUUCGCUCAUUAUUUAUCUUGGUGCUAAUUAAACUAAGAUAGAAGGGUAUUGAUUUUCGAUGUUGCAGACUUAUCUAAAUUCCAUGGUUACUCACUUAAAGGGAAGUUCCUCAGUAAAUUAUGCCACAGCAGCCACUUCAAAAUUUAAGGCAUCUUCACCCGUCCAACUUAACGCGACUCAUGUGCCCAAGUAAGAUUAUUGUCCUCCAUAAUCUACUCCUUUUACGUAGCUUGAUAAAGGAUUUUACGGUUUAUGUAUACCACUGGCAACGGUGAAGUCAGGAAUUUCGCAAAAAGUGUUUAAAAUUUAAUAUACACAUAUAAAAAAAUUAUUUUUGACCUGCAUACAUAAUAUAAGUUUUUAUAUAUAUUUUAUAAUUUUUCGAUAAAUGGAGUGUUCGGUCGAUCACCCUUAAAUGUAUGUGGCUACGAUCACUGGCUACUGGCUUUGUUGCUGUUGUAUGCCGAUGAUGGCCUAAUUCAGAAUAUAGUAUCAAG
rnacentral:lncRNA from 1 species